rnacentral:rRNA from 1 species
GUGGGUAGCGGUGAAAUUCCAAUCGAGCCCGGAGAUAGCUGGUUCUCCCCGAAAUAGCUUUAGGGCUAGCCUCAAGGUGAGAGAUACGGAGGUAGAGCACUGAAUGUCCUAGGGGGUAUUGCACCUACCGAAGACUAUCAAACUCCGAAUGCCGUCAUCUUAUACUUGGGAGUCAGACUGUGGGUGAUAAGAUUCAUAGUCGAAAGGGCAACAGCCCAGAUCGUCAGCUAAGGUCCCUAAAUGUAAGUUAAGUGGUAAAGGAUGUGGGAUUGCACAGACAACCAGGAUGUUGGCUUAGAAGCAGCCACUCAUUCAAAGAGUGCGUAAUAGCUCACUGGUCGAGUGAUCCUGCGCCGAAGAUUUCCGGGGCUAAAACUUACUACCGAAGCUACGGCAUCAGUAAUGAUGGGUAGGGGAGCUUCCCAUACGGGUUGAAGCAUGACCGGAAGGACAUGUGGACAGUAUGGGAGUGAGAAUGUUGGCAUGAGUAGCGAGAUGUGGGUGGGAAUCCCACAGGCCGUAAACCCAAGGUUUCCAGGGGAAGGUUCGUCCGCCCUGGGUUAGUCGGGACCUAAGCUGAGGCCGAAAGGCGUAGGUGAUGGACAACAGGUUGAUAUUCCUGUACUACCGAU